CUGACCUCGAAGAGGAAGCCCGCUUGUAGGGGGCUCCGGUUGAACUGGAGCCGGGGGAGGCGGUGCUGCUGGGAUGCCCCUGGGUUGCAAACUUUGGACGGCGGUAGCCAACGCCUGCACUUGCUACACCAGGGUAUCAAAUUGUUCCGGUUGAACUCGAGAUGCUGGCUCAACCGGGGGUGGUGAGUUCCGAACAGAACAUUCUGGGCUUGGUGGAGGACGUCGAGAGGCGUUGGAAGCCCCUUUGCUUCUUAGCUUCAUGGUAGCGAACUCGGGCCCUUCCUCUAGCGCCAACUGUUGCUGGAAAUUGGACCCGGGGGCCGCCGCGAAGCCGGGGAAGGAGGAGCUCCGCUGCUACAGGAGGCGGACGGCGGUGCGCCGGCUUGCUGCGUCCUCCGCCGCGGGGGGUGUG
rnacentral:lncRNA from 1 species